UGGCCCAGAACGUUUACCGUGAAAAAAUUAGAGUGUUCAAAGCAGGCAGAUCCAAUUUUCUGCCACCGAAUACAUUAGCAUGGGAUAAUGGAAUAGGACCCUGUCCUCCUAUUUUCAGUUGGUUUUGGCAGCGCGAGGACUAGGGUAAUGAUUAAUAGGGAUAGUUGGGGGCAUUAAUAUUUAAUUGUCAGAGGUGAAAUUCUUGGAUUUAUGAAAGAUUAACUUCUGCGAAAGCAUCUGCCAAGGAUGUUUUCAUUAAUCAAGAACGAAAGUUAGGGGAUCGAAGACGAUCAGAUACCGUCGUAGUCUUAACCAUAAACGAUGCCGACCAGCGAUUAGGAGACGUUGAAUACAAAACACCACCAUCGGCGCGGUCGUCCUUGGCGUCGGUCCUUCACGGGGCCGGCGCGAGGGCGGCUAGCCC
rnacentral:rRNA from 1 species